CACCCUGAUGGUUCCUCCUUCUUCCUAUCCUUCGAGUUGGCCACUUAUUCUUCUGGGUUAUCUCUGACUGUGGGGAGGCUGCCUCCUGGAACACAUGAUUCAGGAGACUGUCACUCCCAAAUGCAGCGACUCUAGCUGGCCCUCAAACUCAAAAAUCCUGACUGAGCUUGAUCAUCAGGAGCCACUUCCUACAGAUGUGCUCCCCAGGAACAUGAAACAUACUAAAGUUCCAGAUGGUGAGGGAGAAGCCGUCUGUACUCUCCUAUAGUUUUUUCUCUAUUCCAUUUUCAGUCUAUAAAUUGGUGAAAGAUUCACUACUGUCCUUCUGGCUGUAAAUAUUGGAAAAGAUAUCUAAGCUGGCACAGAUAAAUGGAUGGUUACUUUUGUUGCAACAGGAUCUAAAAUAUGAUUUCCUUUAAUAUGCUUGCAAUGGAUUUAUCCAUAUGUGUAAUCGGACUUGGCCCUGAAGUUGCUGUUUUGAAAUCCAAAUGAAAAGAGUCUAUGACCAGUUGGCCAUGUGCUGCAUUUUGGUAGAACAUUCAACAAUGUUUGGUCCAGGAGGAUAAGGAUAGAACAUUUACCAAGCCACAAAAUGUAACUUGCUUUGACAAAUAAUAA